rnacentral:tRNA from 1 species
AACUUUAUAGUCAAUAUUUAUGAUAUUAAAUUGCAAGUUUAAAGUAGUAUAAAUUACUAAGSUUU